UAAGGUUUAAUUAUAGUCUUUGAAUGUUUAAAUAAUUAUUAUCUAUAAUUGAUUUAAGUAGUAGGCAAUAAAUUUUUACCUUGUUUUUUAUUAUUUGUAUAAAUUUUGUUCCAGAAUAAUCGGCUAUUCAAAAAAAAUUUAUUCUUUAAUUGUUUUUAUUGCAGUUUUUUUUUGUUUUAUUUAUAAAAUUAUUGGUAAAAUAUUAUUUUUUUUUAAAAAAAAGAAUUGUGAUAGAAAGUUUUUUUAGAAAAGAAUUAGAUUAGUACCUAAGUAUUGAAAUUAUAAGAUUGCAGGAGUAAAGUUGAGUUUAAACUGAAUUAAUUUUGGCAGAUAGAUAAUUAUUCUUUGGAGGUUGAGACGUAAUCGAGAACCCUCGUUAUUUACUUAUUUUUUAGGUGUUUGUAUGAUCGUUUUUAUUAGUUUUAAGAAUUUAUAUUUUUCUGAAGUAGUGGGAGUAAAAAUAGAUAUAUAUGAAAUUUAUAAUUAAGAUUGUAUUUUGACCUACAAUUUAUUAUUAAUUGGAUAAAUAAAUAAGUUUAUUUUGAAAUUGUAAAAGAAAGUAAAAUAAUUUUUAUGUUUAUUUGAAUACUUUUUUUCUAUGGUACAAAUCAUCCAUCAAUUGCCUAAAUGGGAGUAAGUUGUAGUAAAGUAGAUUUAUGGGAACUUGAAUCUAUAAU
rnacentral:ncRNA from 1 species